GCCCUCGUAGCUCAGAGGAUAGAGCAGCAGACUUCUAAUCUGUGGGUCGGAGGUUCGACUCCUCUCGAGGGCG
rnacentral:tRNA from 1 species